CCUACGGGUGACAGCAGUGGGGAAUAUUGCACAAUGGGGGAAACCCUGAUGCAGCGAAGCCGCGUGAGUGAAGAAGUCUUUCGGUAUGUAAAGCUCUAUCAGCAGGGAAGAAAAUGACGGUACCUGACUACGCAGCCCCGGCUAACUACGUGCCAGCAGCCGCGGUAAUACGUAGGGGGCAAGCGUUAUCCGGAUUUACUGGGUGUAAAGGGAGCGUAGACGGCGGAACAAGUCAGAAGUGAAAACCCGGGGCUCAACCCUGGGAGUGCUUUUGAAACUGUUUGGCUGGAGUGCAGGAGAGGUAAGCGGAAUUCCUAGUGUAGCGGUGAAAUGCGUAGAUAUUAGGAGGAACACCAGUGGCGAAGGCGGCUUACUGGACUGUAACUGACGUUGAGGCUCGAAAGCGUGGGGAGCAAACAGGAUUAGAUACCCCAGUAGUC
rnacentral:rRNA from 1 species